rnacentral:rRNA from 1 species
CCUACGGGAGGCUGCAGUGAGGAAUAUUGGUCAAUGGACGAGAGUCUGAACCAGCCAAGUAGCGUGAAGGAUGACUGCCCUAUGGGCUGUAAACUUUUUUUAUAAAGGAAUAAAACGAGGUAAGUGUGCCUUUUUGCAUGUACUUUAUGAAUAAGGAUCGGCUAACUCCGUGCCAGCAGCCGCGGUAAUACGGAGGAUCCGAGCGUUAUCCGGAUUGAUUGGGUUUAAAGGGAGCGUAGAUGGGUUGUUAAGUCAGUUGUGAAAGUUUGCGGCUCAACCGUAAAAUUGCAAUUGAUACUGGCAGUCUUGAGUACAGUUGAGGAAGGCGGAAUUCGUGGUGUAGCGGUGAAAUGCUUAGAUAUCACGAGGAACCCCGAUUGCGAAGGCAGCUUACUAAACUGUGACUGACAUUGAUGCUCGAAAGUGUGGGUAUCAAACAGGAUUAGAUACCCUGGUAGUC